GAUCAUGGCUCAGGAUGAACGCUAGCGGCAGGCUUAACACACGCAAGUCGAGGGGCAUCACGAGGUAGCAAUACUUUGGUGGCGACCGGCGCACGGGUGCGUAACGCGUAUGUAACCUACCUAUAACAGGGGCAUAACACUGAGAAAUUGGUACUAAUUCCCCAUAAUAUUCGGAGAGGCAUCUCUCCGGGUUGAAAACUCCGGUGGUUAUAGAUGGACAUGCGUUGUAUUAGCUAGUUGGUGAGG
rnacentral:rRNA from 1 species